GAUGAACGCUAGCUACAGGCUUAACACAUGCAAGUCGAGGGGAAACGAUAUUGGAAGCUUGCUUCCGAUAGGCGUCGACCGGCGCACGGGUGAGUAACGCGUAUCCAACCUGCCCACCACUUGGGGAUAACCUUGCGAAAGUAAGACUAAUACCCAAUGAUAUCUCUAGACGACAUCUGAAAGGGAUUAAAGAUUUAUCGGUGAUGGAUGGGGAUGCGUCUGAUUAGCUUGUUGGCGGGGUAACGGCCCACCAAGGCGACGAUCAGUAGGGGUUCUGAGAGGAAGGUCCCCCCACAUUGGAACUGAGACACGGUCCAAACUCCUACGGGAGGCAGCAGUGAGGAAUAUUGGUCAAUGGGCGAGAGCCUGAACCAGCCAAGUAGCGUGCAGGACGACGGGCCCUAUGGGUUGUAAACUGCUUUUAUAAGGGAAUAAAGUGAGUCUCGUGAGACUUUUUGCAUGUACCUUAUGAAUAAGGACCGGCUAAUUCCGUG
rnacentral:rRNA from 1 species